UACAGAGACUGCAAGCGUUAUUCGGAUUCACUGGGCGUAAAGGGUGCGCAGGCGGUCGUGUGUGUCAGGUGUGAAAUCCCGGAGCUUAACUCCGGAACUGCGCCUGAAACUACACGACUAGAGCAUUGGAGAGGGAAGUGGAAUUCAUGGUGUAGCAGUGAAAUGCGUAGAUAUCAUGAGGAACACCAGAGGCGAAGGCGACUUCCUGGACAAUUGCUGACGCUCAGGCACGAAAGCAUGGGGAGCAAACAGG
rnacentral:rRNA from 1 species